UACGUAGGUGGCAAGCGUUGUCCGGAUUUACUGGGCGUAAAGGGCGUGCAGGCGGUCUGUUAAGUGCAGGGUGAAAGCUCCCGGCUCAACUGGGAGAGGUCCUUGCAUACUGGCGGACUUGAGGGGGGUAGAGGAAAGUGGAAUUCCCGGUGUAGUGGUGAAAUGCGUAGAGAUCGGGAGGAACACCAGUGGCGAAGGCGGCUCGCUGGGCCGGUCCUGACGCUGAGACGCGAAGGCGUGGGGAGCGAACGGG
rnacentral:rRNA from 1 species